rnacentral:rRNA from 1 species
AACGUAGGUUCCGAGCGUUAUCCGGAUUUACUGGGCGUAAAGCGCGUUCAGGCGGUUUGGCAAGUCGGGCAUGAAAUCUCUCGGCUCAACCGGGAGAGGUUGUCCGAUACUGCUGGACUUGAGGGCAGUAGAGGGUGGUGGAAUUCCCGGUGUAGUGGUGAAAUGCGUAGAGAUCGGGAGGAACACCAGUGGCGAAGGCGGCUCGCUGGGCCGGUCCUGACGCUGAGACGCGAAGGCGUGGGGAGCGAACGGG